UACAGGGGGUGCAAACGUUGCUCGGAAUCAUUGGGCGUAAAGCGCACGUAGGCGGUUCGUUAUGUCGGAUGUGAAAGCCUUUGGCUUAACCGAGGAAGUGCAUCCGAAACUGGCGAGCUAGAGUACGAAAGAGGAUCGCGGAAUUCCCGGUGUAGAGGUGAAAUUCGUAGAUAUCGGGAGGAACACCGGUGGCGAAGGCGGCGAUCUGGGUCGAUACUGACGCUGAGGUGCGAAAGCGUGGGGAGCAAACAGG
rnacentral:rRNA from 1 species